rnacentral:lncRNA from 1 species
GUUGAAACUGGUAACUGAUGCUUCACUGUGGGUAUCUAAAAAGGUAAAUCAGCAUAUCUAAGGCAGAUGUGGACUGCAAGUGGCUUAACUCUAGGGUCAUUAUAUGUCUGAAAGUGUAUUCAGUUGGAUGGAAGUAAGACCUUUACACUAGCCUGGGUCAGCUAGUGUAUUUCUGAAGAUGAGGCUCAAUGACCCAGCAGGCUCAGUUAUGUAAGAAAUGAGGACUCCUGGCCAAUCGGGACUCUUAUAGCGGGCAGAUCCUGCUGCCCAUCCACCCCCAUCUGAGUGUGGGCUGCACCCAGGGCAUACUUGGGUGGCCAGAAUUGUGGCUGGCUACCUGCCUGCAGGCCCCAGGCUUCCAAGAAUCUCGGGGGAGACCUGUCCUUGUUACAUUUUCUGGGGUCUGGGCUGCCUCGGCAGCACCCUUUGACUUUAGUGAGCCUCACUGCACUUUUCUCUCAUGCUGUUUGUGUUUAGAAUUUUGUCAUUUUUAGCUGAGACCAAAUUAAUCUUUGGUGCACAAGGUGAGCUUAAAAGCUUACCAUUCAUUGUUUAACAAGCUACCCGCCUCAUGGAAUGUGACCCCUGUCUGCAGGAUCUGACUUCCCCCUCAUUUUCUGUCUCCGUAUCAUCUGUUGGCAUUGUUAGGGCUGUCAGUGGGAUCGCUGGCAUUUACUAUCAUGUCUUUCAUGAACCAAGUUGAUUUUGGGGCUCUAAAACUGCUUCACUUGUUAAUUCAUUUAUUCCUUCAUUCAUUGACUGUUUU